GGCUGGUACGAUGGCAGUGGGUUAUCAGAACUUAUUAACAUUAGUGUCACUAACGUUGGUAUACUACCCCCCGCCCCCCACUGCUAAAUUUGACUGGCUUAAA
rnacentral:Y_RNA from 1 species